rnacentral:rRNA from 1 species
UACGUAGGGUGCGAGCGUUGUCCGGAAUUAUUGGGCGUAAAGAGCUCGUAGGCGGUGUGUCACGUCGGCCGUGAAAACCUGCAGCUUAACUGUGGGCGUGCGGUCGAUACGGGCAUCACUGGAGUUCGGCAGGGGAGACUGGAAUUCCUGGUGUAGCGGUGAAAUGCGCAGAUAUCAGGAGGAACACCAGUGGCGAAGGCGGUGGUCUGGGCCGGUACUGACGCUGAGACGCGAAAGCGUGGGGAGCAAACAGG